rnacentral:rRNA from 1 species
AGUAACGGCGAGUGAAGCGGCAACAGCUCAAAUUUGAAAUCUGGCGCAAGCCCGAGUUGUAAUUUGUAGAGGAUGCUUCAGGGCAGCGGCCGGUCUAAGUUCCUUGGAACAGGACGUCGUAGAGGGUGAGAAUCCCGUAUGCGACCGGUUGGCACCCGUCACGUAGCUCCUUCGACGAGUCGAGUUGUUUGGGAAUGCAGCUCUAAAUGGGAGGUAAAUUUCUUCUAAAGCUAAAUACCGGCCAGAGACCGAUAGCGCACAAGUAGAGUGAUCGAAAGAUGAAAAGCACUUUGGAAAGAGAGUUAAAAAGCACGUGAAAUUGUUGAAAGGGAAGCGCAUGCAACCAGACUUGUCGGCGGUGUUCCGCCGGUCUUCUGACCGGUCUAUUCGCCGCCGGCAGGCCAGCAUCAUCUGGGUGCGCCGGAUAAAGGCGCGGGGAAUGUGGCUCCUCGGAGUGUUAUAGCCCCGCGCACAAUACGGCGCCGCCCGGGUGAGGUCCGCGCUUCGGCUAGGAUGCUGGCGUAAUGGUUGUCUGCGGCCCGUCUUGAAACACGGACCAAGGAGUCUAACAUCUAUGCGAGUGUUCGGGUGUCAAACCCCUACGCGUAAUGAAAGUGAACGGAGGUGGGAAGCGCAAGCUGCACCAUCGACCGAUCCUGAUGUCUUCGGAUGGAUUUGAGUAAGAGCAUAGCUGUUGGGACCCGAAAGAUGGUGAACUAUGCCUGAAUAGGGUGAAGCCAGAGGAAACUCUGGUGGAGGCUCGCAGCGGUUCUGACGUGCAAAUCGAUCGUCAAAUUUGGGUAUA